rnacentral:rRNA from 1 species
GUACACUCCUGCGGGAGGCAGCAGUGGGGAAUAUUGGACAAUGGGCGCAAGCCUGAUCCAGCCAUGCCGCGUGAGUGAUGAAGGCCCUAGGGUUGUAAAGCUCUUUCACCGGUGAAGAUAAUGACGGUAACCGGAGAAGAAGCCCCGGCUAACUUCGUGCCAGCAGCCGCGGUAAUACGAAGGGGGCUAGCGUUGUUCGGAUUUACUGGGCGUAAAGCGCACGUAGGCGGACUAUUAAGUCAGGGGUGAAAUCCCGGGGCUCAACCCCGGAACUGCCUUUGAUACUGGUAGUCUUGAGUUCGAGAGAGGUGAGUGGAAUUCCGAGUGUAGAGGUGAAAUUCGUAGAUAUUCGGAGGAACACCAGUGGCGAAGGCGGCUCACUGGCUCGAUACUGACGCUGAGGUGCGAAAGCGUGGGGAGCAAACAGGAUUAGAUACCCGAGUAGUCCCAUGA